GUCUAGUGUCACUGCAAAAAUACAUAAAUAUCUUGUGACCAGCAAUCCAUGGGGAUGAGGGGGUAUACAUUGAGCAAUUGUUUCCUCAAUGAAGAGAAAUACUGAAGGCAACAAAUUUGCUCCUGAUGGGAGAUGUGAAAACUGCUGCUAAUGCCAGGGCAUCUAACACCAGAUCUGUGACAACACCUCCCCCUUCAUGGAGAGAAGCAAGAAGUUUAGCAAACAUCCCAGCAGCUGAGAUCUCUGUCUUAGCAACUGAUUGGAUGAGACAAACAGAAUCCAGAAGAAACAAAGCCGCCAUGGGUCACAAAAAGUGCAGAAGCAGCAGGCACAAGAUACUCACAGAUGGGCCUACACUGUGAAGAUGAAAUCUGUGCUAUUUUUCACCCGACCCUCCAUUAGUAACUUGCUUUGUUUUACCUGCUUUCAACCAAAGCCAAAAAUAUUGUUUUAGAUUUGGGGCCUGUUCUAGCUUGGAUCCUGACAGUUCCUAAAAGCCUUUUGUUGAAUAUUUGGUCCUGGGCCUAUGGCACUAUAAAAACAAAACAACAACAACAAACAAACAAACAAAACAAAACAAAAAACAAAACAAAGCUAAACAAUACCAAAACAAACAAACCAAAAAUCAAUGGAAUUUAAACCUGAUGGGAAGUCAUGUCAGUGUGCGGGGAAGACUAUGAAAGUAUUGCAGGGAUGCUGGGCUCUCCUCUGCCUCUGCUUUCAGAUUGUAUUAGGUGAACACCAUUUCCCAUUUAGAGAUGGAGGAUUGUGUCAUAUUUCAUCACGGAGUCAAGUGCCUUGUAUGGAACUUUCCUGACGAUAAAUUAUAGGACAUGUGGGGGAAAUAAAGCUCUGCCAUGCAAUAUGCUUAAUAUUCUAAA
rnacentral:lncRNA from 1 species